UGAGGAACAUGACUUUCGGUGGGGGAGUAGCCGGCCCAACGGCCGGGUAAUACCGCGUACGACCUUUUGGGGACAUCCCUGAUUGGUGAAAGCAGCAAUGCGCCGAAAGAGUGCCUCGCGGCCUAUCAGCUAGUUGGUGGGGUAAUGGCUCACCAAGGCAACGACGGGUAGCUGGUCUGAGAGGAUGGCCAGCCACAUUGGGACUGAGACACGGCCCAGACUCCUACGGGAGGNACG
rnacentral:rRNA from 1 species